CACAGGCUUGGUCCCGACCUUAAAAUCAAUUCUAUCUCGACCUACACAUGCAAGUUUCCGCCAACCCGUGAGAACGCCCUCUUACUCUCAAAGAGUCUAGGAGCUGGCAUCAGGCCCCCCGCCCAAAACGCCUAGCCUCGCCACACCCACAAGGGCACCCAGCAGUGACUAACAUUGUACAUAAACGCAAGUUUGACCCAGUCAGAGACCCCCACAGGGCCGGCAAAUAUGGUGCCAGCCGCCGCGGCUAGACCACAUGGCCCAAAUUGAUUUCCCCCGGCGUAAAGCGUGAUUAAAGACCUAUAAAUUAGGGCUAAAUCUGAACUCCUCAGUGAUAUCCCUGUUCAUGAGAAACCCACAACGAAAGUUACCCUAAUAACAACCUUGAAUUCACGACAGCUGAGACACAAACUGGGAUUAGGUACCCCACUAUGCUUAGCCGUAAACUUUAAUUUACUAAACCACCUCGCCAGGGAACUACGAGCCAAGCUUUAAACCCAAAGGACUUGACGGUGUCCCACCUCCCUAGAGGAGCCUGUCCUAUAAUUGAUGAUCCCCGCUAAACCUCACCACUCUUAGCCAAUCAGCCUGUAUACUUCCGUCUUCAGCCUACCGCAUGAGCGACACUUAGUAGGCUUAAUGUCCUGUACAACAAGUCAGGUCAAAGUGCAGCAAAUAGGGUGGGAAGAGAUGGGCUACACUUUCUAUUAAUAGAAAACACGGUAGACACUAUGAAACUAUGUCAAAAGGCGGAUUUAGCAGUAAAAAGAAAAUAGAGUGUUCUUUUUAACCUAGCACUGGGACGCGUACACACCGCCCGUCACCCUCUUCGAAGCACAAAAUAGUAUUUAACACCACUUGCUACUAAGAAGAGGUAAGUCGUAACAUGGUAAGUAUACCGGAAGGUGUGCUUGGAAC
rnacentral:ncRNA from 1 species